AAGCAAUAUGAUUGGUUAUGUACGUAGCAUUAUGACAACAUCACUGCCAGAUCAUUUACAUGACCCUGAAAAAGGUUCUAAGCCAGGAAGAAAAAUGAUAUUAAAGCAGUUGGAGGAGGCAUAGAUCUAAAGAAACUUUAAAGAAACGACAACAAAAACAUUGUACAACCUGAGACAUAGACAUUUAGGGAACAUCACUGGAAAGGGCAAGAAGUGUUCUGGGGAUUUGCCGUCAAAGUAAAUUGGCCAGCCUUGGGUAUUAUGUUCCAUCAUUUUGAAAAGGGCCUCAGGAAACAAAAUGCCCUGGGCCAGUCCUGUCACUCAGAGAUCUACCAGUCAGUUCCAGCCAAACUUUUGCCUGUCCCCCUCACAGAAAAAUAACAUGGUGACAGGCCAUUCCGCUGGGAUGACUUUUGCCAAAGCAUGGAAACUGGAGGAAAUCCAGAAAAAAGACCUUUGGAUUCAUAAGCUAGAAGAAAUACAAAAUAUGGACAAGCUUACAUUCCUUUUGAAAGAAACGAGAGGAAAACCAGCUAGAAGGACAAACUGGAGUAAACUGGAAGAAUAUGUUAAAAAUGAUUUGAAUUAUGUUUAAUAACUUUGUUUAAUUGGAAAAUGAUAAUUUUGAAUACAGUUUUAAAAUAGUUAUUUGAAGAAUGGAAGAUACGCUUCCCCUUAGAUUGAUGUUCCCUGAAAUUUGUUACUCCCUUUGAUGUUAAUCCUUAUCCUUUGUUCCUUAUCCCCCCCCUUUUUUUCCUUUCUUUCUUUCUUUUUUCUUUCAAAUCAAAAUCCUUACCUCCCUUUCCCUUUGCUUUGUGUGUGUGUAUAUAUAUAUAUUUCUUUUUGUUUUUGUCCUUGUGUUUUUGCACUUAUCCCCAUUUUUAAAUGU